CUAGAGAUAGAACAAAUGGUAGUUUACUCGUUUUGGAUGCGAGAGGUUGUAGGUUCGAGUCCUGCUCUCUAGA
rnacentral:tRNA from 1 species